AUAUUUGAGGAGAUCUUUCCCUAGUACGAGAGGACCGGGAUGGACGAACCUAUGGUGCACCAGUUGUUCCGCCAGGGGCAUUGCUGGGUAGCUAAGUUCGGCAGGGAUAACCGCUGAAAGCAUCUAAGCGGGAAGCCCACUUCAAGAUGAGAUAUCCCAUGACCAUUAGGUCAUCUGAAGGGUCGUGGUAGACCACCACGUUGAUAGGUCAGGUGUGGAAGAGUGGUAACACUUGGAGCUAACUGAUACUAAUAACCCGUGUGGCUUAUCCAUAU
rnacentral:rRNA from 1 species